AGAGUUUGAUCAUGGCUCAGAUUGAACGCUGGCGGCAGGCCUAACACAUGCAAGUCGAACGGUAACAGGAAGAAGCUUGCUUCUUUGCUGACGAGUGGCGGACGGGUGAGUAAUGUCUGGGAAGCUGCCUGAUGGAGGGGGAUAACUACUGGAAACGGUAGCUAAUACCGCAUAACGUCGCAAGACCAAAGAGGGGGACCUUCGGGCCUCUUGCCAUCGGAUGUGCCCAGAUGGGAUUAGCUAGUAGGUGGGGUAACGGCUCACCUAGGCGACGAUCCCUAGCUGGUCUGAGAGGAUGACCAGCCACACUGGAACUGAGACACGGUCCAGACUCCUACGGGAGGCAGCAGUGGGGAAUAUUGCACAAUGGGCGCAAGCCUGAUGCAGCCAUGCCGCGUGUAUGAAGAAGGCCUUCGGGUUGUAAAGUACUUUCAGCGGGGAGGAAGGGAGUAAAGUUAAUACCUUUGCUCAUUGACGUUACCCGCAGAAGAAGCACCGGCUAACUCCGUGCCAGCAGCCGCGGUAAUACGGAGGGUGCAAGCGUUAAUCGGAAUUACUGGGCGUAAAGCGCACGCAGGCGGUUUGUUAAGUCAGAUGUGAAAUCCCCGGGCUCAACCUGGGAACUGCAUCUGAUACUGGCAAGCUUGAGUCUCGUAGAGGGGGGUAGAAUUCCAGGUGUAGCGGUGAAAUGCGUAGAGAUCUGGAGGAAUACCGGUGGCGAAGGCGGCCCCCUGGACGAAGACUGACGCUCAGGUGCGAAAGCGUGGGUAGCAAACAGGAUUAGAUACCCUGGUAGUCCACGCCGUAAACGAUGUCGACUUGGAGGUUGUGCCCUUGAGGCGUGGCUUCCGGAGCUAACGCGUUAAGUCGACCGCCUGGGGAGUACGGCCGCAAGGUUAAAACUCAAAUGAAUUGACGGGGGCCCGCACAAGCGGUGGAGCAUGUGGUUUAAUUCGAUGCAACGCGAAGAACCUUACCUGGUCUUGACAUCCACGGAAGUUUUCAGAGAUGAGAAUGUGCCUUCGGGAACCGUGAGACAGGUGCUGCAUGGCUGUCGUCAGCUCGUGUUGUGAAAUGUUGGGUUAAGUCCCGCAACGAGCGCAACCCUUAUCCUUUGUUGCCAGCGGUCCGGCCGGGAACUCAAAGGAGACUGCCAGUGAUAAACUGGAGGAAGGUGGGGAUGACGUCAAGUCAUCAUGGCCCUUACGACCAGGGCUACACAAGUGCUACAAUGGCGCAUACAAAGAGAAGCGACCUCGCGAGAGCAAGCGGACCUCAUAAAGUGCGUCGUAGUCCGGAUUGGAGUCUGCAACUCGACUCCAUGAAGUCGGAAUCGCUAGUAAUCGUGGAUCAGAAUGCCACGGUGAAUACGUUCCCGGGCCUUGUACACACCGCCCGUCACACCAUGGGAGUGGGUUGCAAAAGAAGUAGGUAGCUUAACCUUCGGGAGGGCGCUUACCACUUUGUGAUUCAUGACUGGGGUGAAGUCGAAACAAGGUAACCGUAGGGGAACCUGCGGUUG
rnacentral:rRNA from 1 species